CGGACGGGUGAGUAACGCGUGAGAACCUACCUUUUGGAGAGGGACAACCAUUGGAAACGAUGGCUAAUACCCCAUAUUCUGAGAAGUAAAAGAUGAAAAUCGCCAAGAGAUGGGCUUGCGGCUGAUUAGCUUGUUGGUGAGGUAACGGCUUACCAAGGCGAUGAUCAGUAGCUGGUCUGAGAGGAUGAUCAGCCACACUGGGACUGAGACACGGCCCAGACUCCUACGGGAGGCAGCAGUGAGGAAUUUUCCGCAAUGGGCGAAAGCCUGACGGAGCAAUGCCGCGUGAAGGAUUAAGGCCUAUGGGUUGUAAACUUCUUUUCUCAGAGAAGAAGUUCUGACGGUAUCUGAGGAAUAAGCAUCGGCUAACUCUGUGCCAGCAGCCGCGGUAAGACAGAGGAUGCAAGCGUUAUCCGGAAUGAUUGGGCGUAAAGCGUCUGUAGGUGGCUUUAAAAGUCUCCUGUCAAAGAUCAGGGCUUAACCUUGAGCCGGCAGGAGAAACUUUAAGGCUAGAGUUUGGUAGGGGCAGAGGGAAUUCCCGGUGGAGCGGUGAAAUGCGUAGAGAUCGGGAGGAACACCAAAGGCGAAAGCACUCUGCUGGGCCACAACUGACACUGAGAGACGAAAGCGAGGGGAGCAAAUGGGAUUAGAUACCCCAGUAGUC
rnacentral:rRNA from 1 species